rnacentral:miRNA from 1 species
UAUUUCAAUAAAUUAAACCAAGGAUGGCUAGGGCUGCACCCUAUAAUAUAUCCAUGUUCAGGUGAGUGCAGCCCUAGCCAUCCUUGGUUUAAUUUAUUUAUAUU